UUCGAUAGGGUAAUUUUUAGUUAAUAAUUUAAUUUUAUGAUUUCAGUGGUACUUAUCUAGAAAGGGCAUGGAUCAUUAGUGACACAAAACCAUAUACUAUCAUUAUUUUUUUUUGUCAAAAUUGAAGAAUACCGUUUUCAUAAAAAUUAGUAAAUCGUUGUAGUUGUGUCCCAAACCAAAUGCAAAAACAUGUUGAAAACAAAAUAAUUAUAUUAAUUAAAAUAAGUUAAAAUAAGAUUAGUGAAAACAAGUUUAAAAGGUUUUAUAAACUUGAUUUAGGGUAAGGAUUCUGUGAGACGGAUGUUAGCUUUGGGUAAAAUAACCCAGCCCAG
rnacentral:lncRNA from 1 species